rnacentral:lncRNA from 1 species
UAAAUUCUGCUGCAUGUAUAUUUUAUUUUUCCAAGACAUUUAUGGUUAAUAUAUGUAAAUGUACAUUAUUUACAUUCGACAGAUAUUUGUCUUCAUCUUGUUUGUUAUUAACACAAUGUUUCGGCUGAUAUACCCUCCAGCCUUCAUCAGGUGUCUUGAGGAAAUUUCGAACCUGGUUUCUCAUUCGAUGUUAUUACUGUUGUUAUUAUUAUUAUUAAUAUUAUUAUUAUUCAGGUCAUUGCCUGGAAUCAAACUCGGAAUCUUAACCACUACGCCAUAUGCCCGUGGGCAUAUAAUAAUGAUGAUGAUGAUGAUAACAAUAAUAAUAACAUUGAAAAAUACCUUAGGAAUGAGAACCCAGGUUUGAAAUUUCCCCAAGACACCUGAUGAAGGCUGGAGGGUAUAUCAGCCGAAACGUUGUGUUAACAACAAACAAGAUGAGGAGAAAUAUCCGUUGAAUGUAAACAAUGUACAUAAUUCCUCAUCUCUUAAAUAUAGAGCUAUAUGUAAAAUGUGUAUAAUGCUCUACAUAAUAAGCUCACAUUUAUACUCAUGUAUACAGACUGACAUACAUAUGCACAGAUGUACACAUCCAUGUUUAUAGAUUUGAACACACAGACAUGGAAGUGAAUUUCCACAAAGACUUCAUCAAGAAGACGAUGUAUACACUAACAUCAUCAUCAUUUAGCGUCCGCUUUCCAUGCUAGCAUGGGUUGGACGGUUCAGCUGGGGUCUGGGAAGCCAGGAGGCUGCACCAGGCCCAGUCUGAUCUGGCAAUGUUUCUACGGCUGGAUGCCCUUCCUAAUGCCAACCACUCCGUGAGUGUAGUAGGUGCUUUUUACGUGCCACUGGCACAGGUGCCAGAUGAGGCUGGCAAACGGCCACAGUUGGAUGGUGCUUUUUAUGUGCCACCAGCAUAGGUGGCUGUUGCUACGAUGGGAUGGUGCUUUUUACAUACCACCAGCAUGGGUGGCCGUUGCCAGGAUCGGAUGGUGCUUUUUACAUGCCACUGGCACAGAGGCCCAUCGGGACGGAGCUGACUACGGCCAUGUAUGUAUGGUUUGCUUAUGUGCCACCGGCACUGGUAUCACAGCUACAUUUUCCAUUGAUGUUGAUCGAUUUCGAUUUUGAUUCUGAUUCUCACUUGCCUCAACAGGUCUUGUCCCAAGAAGGAAAGGUAUGCAUAAGUGGACUGAGUGAAUUUUUUUUAAUACAAUAAAGAACAUCAUACACAUAUAUAACUGCAUGUAUAGUCUGUUUGUAGUAUGUGUGUGUGAUAUAUAUAUAUACAUACAUACAUAUAUCUUUCAUUACCAUAUUUCUGCUGAAAUGCUGAUUUUGUCUUAAUUGAUUUUGAAACUAAUAAAAACUUUAGU